CUCACAGGAGCAAGAAUCCUAUUGGGAACUGUGCGUGAGAGGCAUCUAGGUUGCACUCUCCUUAUCAGAAUCUAACUAAUGCCUGAUGAUCUGAGGUGAAAUAGUUUCAUCCCGAAACUACCCCCGACUCUGUCUGUGGAAAAACUAUCCCCACAAAACCUGGUGCCAAAAAGAUUGGGGACCACUGAUAUGUAGGGUUCCAAUUAUUUUGGAAGACAUGAAUUAAGAGACUGGUUGAAGUUCACUAGGCGUUCUUUGCUUCUAAGUCCUCUGUCCUCUAGGCUGUGUUGCAUACAUAAUAAUGCAAGACUGGAGGACACCAAUAGCAUCUGCAAAUGACAAGAUACCUUCAGAUGAAGCCUAAUUCCAAAAAGAUUAAAUAGUUAUCCACAUGUAGAUUAUAUAAACUUUUAGGAGGUUAAUUCUGUGGGUUGCUGGAUUCUGGCUCCCUUAUGCCCUGCAACCUUAUGGCUUCAUGCUAUAUAUGAACUUCUUACUAGGAAUAAUGGAUGACUUGACUGUUCUCUGCUUCCUGAACAACUUCUACCAUCAUGUUAAAUUGAAGCUUCUCAGUUAUGCCAAGUUAUUCAAUAUAUGAUGUCCUAUGUUCCUCAUCUUUGCACUGGAAAUAAUGCUGUCAACUCACUGACUGAAUUCAAUCCCUGGAGUUCUAAGAGAAAUCUCACUCCAAGAAAAUGUAGAGAAGUAAUACCCUAAAUAUCUGUAGUUCACUGAUUCAGUUUAUCAUAAAGUAUCUGAAAUAUUUUAGCAUUUGUCCUACAAAGGCCCAGAUUUUGAGGUAACAAAGUACUUUCAUUAAUCCUUUUAAUAUUUCUCUUUGCCAGAAUGCUUGAUCAAAAGUAUUGAUUAUCUGGUGUCAGCUGUUUUCCUGAAUUCAUGCAGUACUGACAAAGAAGAAUUUGGAAUUAAAUACCAGAGAAGAGUUCUAUUCCACCUAGAGGGUACAGUUUUGUGACAAUAUUUUUGACAUUCUAAUUAGGUUAUCAGCCUAUGAUUGCAAAUAAAAAAUGAAACAAUAAUAAUAUUUAAAUACAAAGGUAUUUAAAGUAAUGAAAGCAAAAGUCUAAUGUACAUCUUUA
rnacentral:lncRNA from 1 species